rnacentral:rRNA from 1 species
GGAAAGUCUUACGGUGGAUACCUAGGCACCCAGAGAUGAGGAAGGGCGUACUAAUUGAUGAAAUGCUUUGGUGAUUUGAAAAUAAGCAUAGAUCCUGAAAUUCCCAAAUAGGGAAGCCUUUUGAACUGUUGCUGAAUCCAUAGGCAGGAAAGAGACAAUCGGGGAAUUGAAACAUCUUAGUAUCUAGAGGAAAAGAAAGCAAAAGUGAUCUCGUAGUAACGGGAAGCGAAAUGGUGCAGCCUAAAUGAUGAAAAUGGGGUUGUGGGAGACCAACACAAGCAUUGUGCUACUAGGUGUAACAACCUGAAUGUUACACCCUAUAUGGGAAAAGUGCAGUAGUCAAAAGCACUACUAGAUUACGCUCUAAACUGAGUAGCAUGAGGCAUGUGGAAUCCUUUAUGAAUCAACAAGGACCACCUUGCAAGGAUAAAUACUCCUGGGUGACUGAUAGCGAAGUAGUACCGUAAGGAAAGGAGAAAAGAACCAUCAUUGGGGAAUGAAAUAGAACAUAAAACCAUAAGCUCUGAAGCAGUGGGAGGAUCUAGGGCUCUGAUCACGUGCCUAUUGAAGAAUGAGUCGGUGACUCAUAAGCAGUGGCUUGGAUAAGGAAAUCCACUAGAGCUGUAAAGAAAGAGAGUCUUCAUAAGGCAAUUGUUACUGCUUAUGGACCCAAAUAUGGGUGAUCUAUCCAUGACCAGGAUGAAGCUUGGGUGAAACUAAGUGGAGGUCCGGACCGACUGAUUUUAAAGAAUUAGUGGAGAGUUGUGGUUGGGGUGAAAUGCCACUUGAACCCAGAGCUAGCUGGUUCUCCCCGAAAUAUAUUGAGGCAUAGUAAUUGACUAGACAUCUAGGGGUAAAGCACUAUUUCUGUGCAGGCCUCGAGAUUUGUACCAAAUUGAGGUAAACUCUGAAUACCCGUAUGGCCUUAAAAAAGAGGGGUCAAAGUCAACUAGUGAGACGAUGGGGGAUAAGAUUCAUCGUCAGAGGUAAACAACCCGGAUCACCAGCUAAGGCCGCUAAAUGACCGCUCAGUUAUAGAGGAGGUAGGGUUACAGAGAUAGCUAGGAGGUUUGCCUAGAACCAACCACCUUUGAAAGAGUGCAUAAUAUCUCACUGAUUGAGCACUCUUGCACCAAAGAUAAAGGGGGCAAAACGAUCUGCCAAAGCUUUGGGUGUAAAAAUACAUUGAUAGGGGAGCGUUCUACCUUAAAGGGAAGACUCCACACGACCGGUGGUGGAUAAAGGGGAAGCAAGAAUGUCGGCUUGAGUAACGCAAACCUUGGUCAGAAUCCAAUACCUCAAACACCUAAGGGUUCCUCCACAAGGUUCAUCCACGGAGGGUGAGUCAGGGCCUAAGAUUAGGCCAAAAAGUGUAGUAGAUGGACAACAGGUGAAUAUUUGUAUACUACCCAUUAUUGUUCCCGAGGGAUGGAGGAUGUUAGGUUAGCCAAAAGAUGGUUAUCAAUUCAAGAAUGUAAGGUGUCCAGGCCUUUUUUUAUGGUAAGAAGGGGUAGAGAAAAUGACUCAAGCCAAUGUUCAAAUACCAAGCACUACGACGCUGAAGUAACCCAUGUUAUACUCAUAAUAAAAGCUCAAACGACUUUGAGAAAGAGGGAACCUAUACCCAAAACCAACACAGGUGGGUAGGUAGAGAAUACGUAGGGGCGAGAGAUAACUCUCUCUAAGGAACUCGGAAAAAAUAGCCCUUACAUCAUAAAAGGGGUCGCAGUGACCAGGCCUGGGCGACUGUUUACAAAGAAUACAGGUCUCUGCAAAGUCGUAGACCAUGUAUGGGGGAUGACGCCUGCCCAGUACUGGAAGUUCAAAGAAGUUGGUAAGCUGAUGAUAGGGGAGCCGGCGACCAAAGCCCCAGUGAAUGGCGGUCCUAACUAUAACAGUCUUAAGGUAGCAAAAUUCCCUAUCAGGUAAGUUCCGACCUACAAAAAAGGCGUAAUGAUCUGGUCACUAUCUCGAAGAGAGGCUUGGUAAAAUAGAUAUGUCUGAGAAGAUGCAGACUACCUACACCUGGAAAUAAAGACCCUAUAAAGCUUCACUGUUCCCUAGGAUUGGAUUUGGGCCUUUCCUGUGCAGCUUAGGUGAAAGGCGAAGAAGGCCUCCUUUCGAGGGGGGCCGAGCCAUCAGUGAGAUACCACUCUAGAAGGGUUAGAAUUUUAACCUUGUGUCAGGACCUACGGGCCAAGGGGCAGUCUCAGGUAGAAAGUUUCUAAAGGGAUUAGGCAUUUAAAAAGGUAAAGGAGGAGUGCAAAGGUUUCAUCGGGCCGGGCGGAGAUUGGCCCUCAAGUGCAAAGGUAGAAGAGAUCUUGACUUGAAGACCUACCCGUCGAGCAGGGAUGAAAGUUAGCCUUAGUGAUCCGAUAGUGCCGAGUGGAAGGGUGAUCACUCAAUGGAUAAAAGUUACUCUAGGGAUAAUAGGUUGAUCUUCUCCAAGAUCUCACAUCGAUGCAAAGGUUUUUUACCUCGAUGUCAGCUCUUCGAUACCUGGGGCUGCAGUAUGUUCUAAGGGUUAGGUUGUUCUCCCAUUAAAGCGGUACGUGAGUUGGGCUCAAAAUAUUGUGAGAUAAUUUAGUCCAUAUCUAGUGUGGGCAUUAAAGCAUUGAGUGGAAUUUUCCCUAGUAUGAGAGGACUGGGAAGGACGCACCUCUAGUGUACCAGAUAUCGUGCCCACGGUAAACUCUAGGUAGCCAAGUGCUAAGCGGAUAAAUACUGAAAGUAUCUAAAUAGUAAGCCCAUCAAAAGAUGAGUGAUAUCCUAUUCCGACUUCCCCAGAGCUUCCGGUAGCAUAGCCGAGACAAUCACGAGUUCUCUGCCCCUACGGGGAAGGAGCGACAGAAGUUUUUUAGAGAAUUCAAGAGAAGUUCACAGCGAGAAAAGUCGUUUAUAAUUAUGAUAUGUGUUAAUAAGAUGUGUAGUGAUGUAUGCAGCUGAUGCAUCCUAACAGACCAGUAGACUUGAAC